rnacentral:rRNA from 1 species
AUUGAACGCUGGCGGCAUGCCUUACACAUGCAAGUCGAACGGUAACAGGUCUUCGGAUGCUGACGAGUGGCGAACGGGUGAGUAAUACAUCGGAACGUGCCCGAUCGUGGGGGAUAACGCAGCGAAAGCUGUGCUAAUACCGCAUACGAUCUACGGAUGAAAGCGGGGGAUCGCAAGACCUCGCGCGGACGGAGCGGCCGAUGGCAGAGUAGGUAGUUGGUGGGGUAAAGGCUCACCAAGCCUGCGAUCUGUAGCUGGUCUGAGAGGACGACCAGCCACACUGGGACUGAGACACGGCCCAGACUCCUACGGGAGGCAGCAGUGGGGAAUUUUGGACAAUGGGCGCAAGCCUGAUCCAGCCAUGCCGCGUGCAGGAUGAAGGCCUUCGGGUUGUAAACUGCUUUUGUACGGAACGAAAAGGUUCUUUCUAAUAAAGAGAGCUCAUGACGGUACCGUAAGAAUGAGCACCGGCUAACUACGUGCCAGCCGCCGCGGUAACAC